AUACAAAAAUACAUAAAAUACACAUUUACUUUCAUAGCAUUACAAAGUAAAGGUAUCCUAAAAUGAUUUUAAGGUCUAAAUCUCGUCAGUAGUAUGUGGAUAAGAUGAAGUACAGUUUAUUAGAGUAUGUGACCUGUUUAGGCUGAAAUCUAAGCACUGUCAUGUAAUGUGAACUACAAUGCAUUGGAUAUUAUCAACGAGUAACACACAAUUGCUACACCAAAACCCAUUUCUAUGCCUCGUUGACCCCGACGACACGAGGGGUCUACAGAAUAAAAUCGGAGUAAAUCGGAGAGGGGUUUGCUGACAGUGCCACCUGGAUGACAACGAGGACAGCGCGAGGGUUAAGCAUUAUGCAUCCGUCGUUUGCAAGCCUAGGUUGAUGUAGCUCACCGGGUGUCUAAAAGCCAGAUGCCUAGAGUUAAUAUUACAAACUUUGUGGAAAUGCCGUAAUAUGGAAACUUGAUUAAAGUUAUGAUUUGGAUGACCAAGGAUUAUCUUGAAACUCGAGGAAACUUGGGACUGAAGCAGCGAAAAUAACUAGUGCUCUUUGCAUGAUGAAGUUGUAGCUAUAGCUGACAGAUUGUACCCUACUUUUUGUUGGCAACAGUGCGGAAAAGCUUUUCUCGUGAAACUUUAUUUGUUACACCUAAAACUAACAGGAUAAUUCUUUAAAAAAAACUUUUCGGAUUCGGUCACAUUGACAACCAAGCGUGGAAAAUAAUUUACAUAUUGCGACGUAAACCUGUAACAGAGGGUUUCUUCCACAGCCGUGUGCAAUUUCAAGACAAACAAAAUGUUGUUUUUGAGAAGUCAGCCUUGACAAUGGGAAAGAAAUCAGUGGCCAUGGCACUCCAAAUCCCAAAACGUCCAGGACUACUUCAGAAGAGUUCAACAACAAGGAUUUGAGAGGAGUAUUCCACGAGCAAGCAACAACUCGAACAUGCUACCAUGUCACGUUGAAACAUAUUGGAACAUGGAAGUUUCUGGUUUUAAAAAGCUGCAAUAACAAAAAGUCAACAAUAAAAGAAAACAACAAAAAUCUGUUUGUCUACUCAAGGAUAAACCCUCAGAGCUCACUGGAAUUAUAGUCAUUUCAGAGUCAAGCAACUCCAGUGACACUGUUCAGGUUAACGGCACCACAGUUGAGUCAAACUUGGACAGAACCAGAACCGAAGCACACACAAUACCAAAACAUGGGGCAGAGGAGAAGAUGUUUGUAUCAAUUUUUACUAAGAAAGAGCACUUGGAGAGUGAAGGGACUCAAACUGGUUUUGACAAACAGCAUCAACAAACUAAAUCUAAUGUGGUAGGCCUGUCUAUCAAGCAGGGUUUCGAAUUAGAAGUCACAGAGUCGAAUUCAGCUUAUCAGACAAUGUCAACUACCCACUCUGUUUGGAGAGAGGAAUUUUCUGGACCGGUCCAAAAUAGAUGCCUUGUAGAAAUACAAGAGUCAAACCCUGUGUUCCCAGUCAAAAGAAUCUUUGCCGCACUACAGAAGAAAUACAAGGAACACAGUAAAGUGUUAAAAUAUCCUGCAGCAGCUUUGAGCAACCCUCCAUCCAUGCUAAACCCAGCGCUAGCCAAACGGAAACUUCAUCAAAACGAGAGAGGAGACUCGGAGAAGCUUCCCAAGCGCUGGAGGUAUGACUUGGAGGAGAUGGCGAAGAAGGAGGCCCUUACCCUGGUCAGUGGUUCCCCUUCCGAAUCUGCCAGUAGGAGCUCCGCGGUGUUUCCAGCAAGGGGCCAGCCCGGGAAGUGCAGGCUGAGCCGGACCCACAGGCUGAGGCAGCUGGAGGAGAGCCUUUGCCUGGGUCCGAGUGAUGAACCAAAGCCUGACCAGGCACAUCAACCAGACUCUGAUGGGGCAACUCUAAGCUGCCACAGGAGAGAAGAUAAACACAUUGAAGAUAUGCUUUGGACGGACAAGUACUGCCCUCAGAACUCAAGCGAGGUCAUCGGCAACUCCUCAUCGGUGAAGAAGCUCCACAGUUGGCUAAGGAGGUGGAAACUGCGAGCGGAUUGUGAAGAGAGGAGAAGGGACCUGGAGAAGAGACAGGAAGACAACAGCAAUGACUCAUGGGACUGCGGAGACUUCCAGGGAGAUGCCUGUGUGGAAGAGGAGGGAGAAGAGCUGUCCACCACCAUGCUCAUCACAGGUCCCUCCGGGGUGGGGAAGACGGCCUCUGUGUACGCCUGUGCCCUGGAGCUGGGCUUUAAGGUGUUCGAGGUGAACGCUUCCUGCCAGCGCAACGGUCGCCAUGUGCUGACUCAGCUGAAAGAGGCCACCCAGUCCCACCUGGUGGACAUUCAGGGACAAGCCCUCCUCAAACCUACUUACCUCAGGAACAGCAGCUCCACCAAACCUGACACCUUGUCUGGGACAGAAACCUCCUCAAGAAGGCUUGUCUCAUCAUCCAGGAAGUUUCCAAAACGGAACUCUUGCAGUGCAAGGCAUAAAGGAAAGGGCAAGCAAGCUGCCAUCACACUGGCCAACUUCUUCAAGAUGAAGAGCAAAGCAGAGGGUAUCGCUGUAGACGGUCUGUCAUCUAAAAACACAGAUAUCCAGACUUCCUCUAACUACCCGUCACCAGACAAUGAACAACCAGCAACCGGGGGACAGCAUAAAAUGACGACCACAUCCCUUAUUCUGUUUGAAGAGGUCGAUAUCAUAUUUGAUGACGACGUGGGAUUCCUCUCGGCGAUCAAGACUUUUAUGUCAACAACCAAAAGACCUGUGAUCCUGACGACAGACGAUCCUUCAUUCCGUGCAAUAUUCAACGCCAACUUCGAAGCGGUUCUUUUCAAAACGCCCUCAACGGUGAACGCGUGCAGCUACCUGCGGCUAUUGUGUCUGGCCGAGAACAUCAGGACGGAGCCUGGUGACAUCACUUCCCUUCUUGAGGUGACCCGUGGUGACAUCAGACGUAGCGUGUUGCAGGUGCAGUUGUGGGGCAGCAGUAGAGAGAAGCGGAGCCCUCAGACGGAAGCUCCGGAAACUUCCAAGGUUCCUGUAACGGUGGACCCCAAGUCUAAAGACCGCAGGCCUCUAUGCCGUCUUCCUCAUUGUGAGCUGAGAUGUACUCCAAGCAUGUUGGGUCUUCUUAAUGCUGAUCUCGGACAAGAGCUGGCGAACUUUCAGAAAUCCUUGAUGGAUACGGAAGUUAUAAAGCUCAUGGAGGUGCUUAAAGAGAGUUGGAGGAGAGGCGUUCCUCUGCUGUACUCAAACCUGGAGCUCCUCUCACGCUCACCAGCUCGAACCCAACCUGCUUCACUCUCCAUCCCAGAGGAAGUGGCUCAAACUGGGCCGCAGAAUCAUCCCAGACCGGUCGACAUCCACCCCCAGACUCCAGAGCUAAGCUGCACCGCCCCCACCAGGACUUCUAGACUGAGUAGAAGGAAACGCGCCCGGGUUUCCGACCCCGGGUCCAUUCACAGCGUUUCACCACAAAGAACCUCGCUGUCGUUGAACAUUCAUUCAAGGACCUCUGGCACUAAUGACAAGCCUACGACUUUAAACCAGGCACGGAGGCUUGAAUCCCAGAGUUUAGAUGCCCUAGCUGACUUCAUGGACCUUAUGUCCCACCUGGAUUCUACCCUUCCCACCCCAGACCUUCACACAGCCGGCCCAUGUAGAUCAGGAGAGUUCAUCUGGACAGGGGCCCGGGUGAAAGACGGACUGCUGGAUGAGAUGCGAGAGGAGGAGCAUGGGAGUUGUAGUUUGGAGAGGGUGUUUGAGAUCCAGGCUGCUCUUGAAGCGUUGGCCUUUCACACGUGCCACACUGUGGUGUCAGGGGUUAUGGGGACAGGGCAGGAUUUGGGGGAGGGGUGUAAGGAUGGGGUCACAGAGGAAGUCACUUCUCCAGUCGCUUCACACAGACAGAUUUUCAGCUUCACUCACACUUCAAUUUUGGAACCAAGUGUGAGCCAAAGAAGAUACGACAUCAACAAGACGGUCUUCACAAGCAGAGCCUUUUCUACCAUGGGCAACAAGCAGGCUAUUGCAGUGGACUACCUGCCUAUCCUGCGCACCAUCUGUCAGUCACAAAGAUCCCAGGAGCAGGCCGGUGGCUGGUUUCAGCAUUACUUCAGCCGUAUUCAACUUGGACUCUCAAAAUCAACCAUCCAGCUCCUUGCCGAAGACUUUCCUUAUUGACCUGUGCAUCUUUAUUGCGUGGAUUUUUUGGGCGACUCCCCACCUCCCAAUCUCUCUCUCCUUUGUAUAACCCAGACCAGAAGCCAAAGAGAAAUCUACCAGGACUGAGGCGUCCCUGUACUUCACCAGCAGGUGCGUGGGGAACUUCACCCUCAGAGAAUUCUGGACCGACGACUCGCUCAUCAUCUGCUGCACCAAC